rnacentral:rRNA from 1 species
AUUCGCCCUUAGAGUUUGAUCCUGGCUCAGAUUGAACGCUGGCGGCAGGCCUAACACAUGCAAGUCGAGCGGUAGAGAGAAGCUUGCUUCUCUUGAGAGCGGCGGACGGGUGAGUAAUGCCUAGGAAUCUGCCUGGUAGUGGGGGAUAACGUUCGGAAACGGACGCUAAUACCGCAUACGUCCUACGGGAGAAAGCAGGGGACCUUCGGGCCUUGCGCUAUCAGAUGAGCCUAGGUCGGAUUAGCUAGUUGGUGAGGUAAUGGCUCACCAAGGCGACGAUCCGUAACUGGUCUGAGAGGAUGAUCAGUCACACUGGAACUGAGACACGGUCCAGACUCCUACGGGAGGCAGCAGUGGGGAAUAUUGGACAAUGGGCGAAAGCCUGAUCCAGCCAUGCCGCGUGUGUGAAGAAGGUCUUCGGAUUGUAAAGCACUUUAAGUUGGGAGGAAGGGCAGUAAAUUAAUACUUUGCUGUUUUGACGUUACCGACAGAAUAAGCACCGGCUAACUCUGUGCCAGCAGCCGCGGUAAUACAGAGGGUGCAAGCGUUAAUCGGAAUUACUGGGCGUAAAGCGCGCGUAGGUGGUUUGUUAAGUUGGAUGUGAAAUCCCCGGGCUCAACCUGGGAACUGCAUUCAAAACUGACUGACUAGAGUAUGGUAGAGGGUGGUGGAAUUUCCUGUGUAGCGGUGAAAUGCGUAGAUAUAGGAAGGAACACCAGUGGCGAAGGCGACCACCUGGACUAAUACUGACACUGAGGUGCGAAAGCGUGGGGAGCAAACAGGAUUAGAUACCCUGGUAGUCCACGCCGUAAACGAUGUCAACUAGCCGUUGGAAGCCUUGAGCUUUUAGUGGCGCAGCUAACGCAUUAAGUUGACCGCCUGGGGAGUACGGCCGCAAGGUUAAAACUCAAAUGAAUUGACGGGGGCCCGCACAAGCGGUGGAGCAUGUG